rnacentral:tRNA from 1 species
UAGUUCUUAUAGUUGA